UGGGUCCUCAUCCUGCCUGCCACACAGCCGUAUCAUGACAGGUUUGAGCGCAGAGUCAAGGAGGCCACUUACGUGAAAAGGGAAAGACCAUCUCUGAAUCAAGGAGGGGGCCUAAGGGGACAUCUUUCACAUCUUACAAUGCUAUGAUUGCAGCCAUUCCCCCACUUUCUGUGAAUGGCCAUUGAUCAGUGGUCUUUGAUCUAUGGUCAUGAGAAUUUGCAUAUUAAUUAUCAACGAACUGACCUCCCAGCCCAUUGUCCCUUCAGUGGUGUUAGUGUCAGUCAUUAUGGAAAUGUACUGUUUUUAAGUUUGGGGAAGCCUGGGUGAUUCAGCUGCAUCGAGACGUUUUCCAAAGCAAACUCAGCAGAAUCAUUGUUGCAUUGUCUGCAUAGGAAAAUAAAAAAGUAGUGUUUGUUUUUCAGGAAUAUAACAACAGAGCAAAAAAUCUUUAAUUGGCUGAUGUUUGUGCAGUAUUUGUGUUAAAAAUAAAUAAUCUGUCAUGCUCGUUUAUACUGCCCACACAGAGACAAACAGGACAACUCAGAAGUUUCCAAUUCUCUGCCUGCCCAGCAACAUCAAACUGAAGUGAACUCCAUAUUUAAGCUGCUGGAGGACAAAAUAACUACUUUUGUGAAGAACGAGCUAAAGAAGGCACAGAAUGAACUCAAUUCAGAUUACACCCAAUCAUCAGAGAGUCAGACACAUGAUGAGGAUGUGUUGGGCAGUGAGGAUGAGGAGCAGAGGAGAAGCAGUAGAGAAAAUGAAACAGGAACAGCUGGCUGCUCGUCUGCUGAGCAAUUUCUGUGAACUAAAUUUGGAUCUAAACACAAUACACAGAAAACUCAAACUAUCUGACAACAACAGGAAGGUGGUGCAUGUAGAAGAGGACCAGCAGUAUGUUGAUAAUGACGACAGAUUUGAUCAUUGGCCUCAGCUGCUGUGUACCAACACUCUGAUUGGUCGCUGUUACUGGAAGGUGGAGUGGAGAGGUUCAUAUUUCAGUGGCUUACAAAGGAAUAAAACAGAAGGGAAGCUGUGAUGACAGCUGCUUUGGCAAAACUGAUCAUUCCUGGUCUUUGUACUGUGAUGAGGCCAAAUACUUUGCAACUCACAAUUAAAAACCAAGAGCCAUCCCGGUCUCCUCCUUUGCCUGUGACAAAGUAGCAGUGUAUGUGGACUGUCCUAUGGGCACUGUGUCCUUCUAUAACAUAAUCUCUGGCACACUGGUCCACCUCCACACCUUCAACACCACAUUCACUGAACCUGUAUACCCUGGGUUUAGAGUUGGGUUACGUAACUCUCAUAUCUACAUCUGUGCUGACUCAGAAAACUGAUCCUGAGCUCAUAAAGUAGCAAUAAAGCAAAGUUACUGAGCUACAGUAACAAAAGUGUCAUCCAUAUAUAUUUAAAAAUACAUAACAUUAUAAAUUUGACUGUGAUAAAUGUUUCAAAUGUGUUUGAAAUUACACCGAGAGAUCUCAUGCCACCUUCUUAA